rnacentral:lncRNA from 1 species
UGGGCUCGUGUCCAAAUGGCAAAGUUUGACACAAGCUGAGGAGGAGAACAUUCCUUUAUGGCAUCCUGUACUUUGUUGAACAGAAGCAAUGAUAACAGGUACUCCUGCCUUUUCCUGGAAUUUGAAAGUGCCUGUGGCUGUCUUCCUGCUGUCCCGGUAACCACUGUCAUCUGACCUAAAACCACGGACUGAGAGGGCUCAUCAAAAACAGGUUCUUGCUUUGAACAACAGAACACUUUGAGUGACUCACUGGUCAGAUGCUGUAAGGUAUUUUUUU